rnacentral:rRNA from 1 species
CUUUACACAUGCAAGUCGAGCGGCAGCGCGGGGGCAACCCUGGCGGCGAGCGGCGAACGGGUGAGUAAUGCAUCGGAACGUACCCUGGAGGUGGGGAUAACGCCGCGAAAGCGGCGCUAAUACCGCAUAUGCUCUGAGGAGGAAAGUGGGGGACCGCAAGGCCUCACGCUCUGGGAGCGGCCGAUGUCCGAUUAGCUAGUUGGUGGGGUAAAGGCUUACCAAGGCGACGAUCGGUAGCUGGUCUGAGAGGAUGAUCAGCCACACUGGGACUGAGACACGGCCCAGACUCCUACGGGAGGCAGCAGUGGGGAAUUUUGGACAAUGGGGGCAACCCUGAUCCAGCCAUGCCGCGUGAGUGAAGAAGGCCUUCGGGUUGUAAAGCUCUUUUGGUCGGGAAGAAAGCGCCUUGCCUAAUACGCGAGGUGAUUGACGGUACCGGCAGAAUAAGCACCGGCUAACUACGUG